rnacentral:misc_RNA from 1 species
GAUGAAGAACGUAGCGAAAUGCGAUAAGUAAUGUGAAUUGCAGAAUUCAGUGAAUCAUCGAAUCUUUGAACGCACAUUGCGCCCACUGGUAUUCCGGGGGGCAUGCCUGUUCGAGCGUCAUUUCACCACUCAAGCCUCGCUUGGUAUUGGGCAACGCGGUCCGCCGCGUGCCUCAAAUCGACCGGCUGGGUCUUCUGUCCCCUAAGCGUUGUGGAAACUAUUCGCUAAAGGGUGUUCGGGAGGCUACGCCGUAAAACAACCCCAUUUCUAAGGUUGACCUCGGAUCAGGUAGGGAUACCCGCUGAACUUAAGCAUAUCAAUAAGCGGAGGA